rnacentral:rRNA from 1 species
UACGUAGGGGGCGAGCGUUGUCCGGAUUUAUUGGGCGUAAAACGCUUGUAGGUGGCUACGUCAAGUCGGACGUGAAAUCUCCCGGCUUAACUGGGAGGGGUCGCUCGAUACUGGCGAGCUCGAGGCAGGUAGGGGGAAGCGGAAUUCCCGGUGUAGUGGUGGAAUGCGUAGAUAUCGGGAGGAACACCAGUGGCGAAGGCGGCUUCCUGGACCUGUUCUGACACUGAGGCGCGAAAGCUAGGGGAGCAAACAGG